GACGAACGCUGGCGGCGUGCUUAACACAUGCAAGUCGAACGGAAAGGCCCUGCUUGCAGGGUACUCGAGUGGCGAACGGGUGAGUAACACGUGGGUGAUCUGCCCUGCACUUCGGGAUAAGCCUGGGAAACUGGGUCUAAUACCGGAUAGGAGCCAUUUUUAGUGUGAUGGUUGGAAAGUUUUUUCGGUGUAGGAUGAGCUCGCGGCCUAUCAGCUUGUUGGUGGGGUAAUGGCCUACCAAGGCGGCGACGGGUAGCCGGCCUGAGAGGGUGGACGGCCACAUUGGGACUGAGAUACGGCCCAGACUCCUACGGGAGGCAGCAGUGGGGAAUAUUGCACAAUGGGCGCAAGCCUGAUGCAGCGACGCCGUGUGGGGGAUGACGGCCUUCGGGUUGUAAACUCCUUUCGCUAGGGACGAAGCUUUUUGUGACGGUACCUAGAUAAGAAGCACCGGCUAACUACGUG
rnacentral:rRNA from 1 species